rnacentral:lncRNA from 1 species
ACAAAGUUUCUCAAGAAAAGGACCUCUUACACAAUUGGCAAAGGUUACUUUCAGAUGUGCUAUUUGGUGGAUGUGGAAGGAGAGAUGUAGCAGAAUCUUUGAAUGUCAACACACAAACAAUGCUCAGCUCUUGACAGAGAUUAUUAGAGACUCAAGAUCAUGCAUGGAGCAUAAUCUCAAAAUGGAGCACUUUACACGAAGAGAAAGAGAU